rnacentral:rRNA from 1 species
GUUUGAUCAUGGCUCAGGAUGAACGCUGGCGGCGUGCCUAACACAUGCAAGUCGAGCGAUUCUCUUCGGAGAAGAGCGGCGGACGGGUGAGUAACGCGUGGGUAACCUGCCCUGUACACACGGAUAACAUACCGAAAGGUAUGCUAAUACGGGAUAAUAUGCUUUUGUCGCAUGGCAGAAGUAUCAAAGCUCCGGCGGUACAGGAUGGACCCGCGUCUGAUUAGCUAGUUGGUGAGGUAAUGGCUCACCAAGGCGACGAUCAGUAGCCGACCUGAGAGGGUGAUCGGCCACAUUGGAACUGAGACACGGUCCAAACUCCUACGGGAGGCAGCAGUGGGGAAUAUUGCACAAUGGGCGAAAGCCUGAUGCAGCAACGCCGCGUGAGCGAUGAAGGCCUUCGGGUCGUAAAGCUCUGUCCUCAAGGAAGAUAAUGACGGUACUUGAGGAGGAAGCCCCGGCUAACUACGUGCCAGCAGCCGCGGUAAUACGUAGGGGGCUAGCGUUAUCCGGAAUUACUGGGCGUAAAGGGUGCGUAGGUGGUUUCUUAAGUCAGAAGUGAAAGGCUACGGCUCAACCGUAGUAAGCUUUUGAAACUGAGAAACUUGAGUGCAGGAGAGGAGAGUAGAAUUCCUAGUGUAGCGGUGAAAUGCGUAGAUAUUAGGAGGAAUACCAGUUGCGAAGGCGGCUCUCUGGACUGUAACUGACACUGAGGCACGAAAGCGUGGGGAGCAAACAGGAUUAGAUACCCUGGUAGUCCACGCCGUAAACGAUGAGUACUAGCUGUCGGAGGUUACCCCCUUCGGUGGCGCAGCUAACGCAUUAAGUACUCCGCCUGGGAAGUACGCUCGCAAGAGUGAAACUCAAAGGAAUUGACGG